ACUUUUAAAGGAUAACAGCACAUCCGUUGGUCUUAGGAACCAAAAAUUCUUGGUGCAAUUCCAAGUAAAAGUA
rnacentral:tRNA from 1 species